AACGAACGCUGGCGGCAGGCCUAAUACAUGCAAGUUGAGCGAGAAGCCACCUUCGGGUGGGGGACAGCAGCGCACGGGUGAGUAACGCGUGGGAAGAUACCCAAAGGUGCGGAAUAGCCACUGGAAACGGUGAGUAAUACCGUAUGUGCCCUAACGGGGAAAGAUUUAUCGCCUUUGGAUUUGCCCGCGUAUGAUUAGAUAGUUGGUGGGGUAACGGCCUACCAAGUCGACGAUCAUUAGCUGGUCUGAGAGGAUGAUCAGCCACACUGGGACUGAGACACGGCCCAGACUCCUACGGGAGGCAGCAGUAGGGAAUAUUGGACAAUGGGGGCAACCCUGAUCCAGCCAUGCCGCGUGAGUGAAGAAGGCCUUAGGGUUGUAAAGCUCUUUCAUCUGUGAAGAUAAUGACGGUAGCAGAAGAAGAAGCCCCGGCUAACUCCG
rnacentral:rRNA from 1 species